rnacentral:lncRNA from 1 species
AACAUUACUAAAUGAAAUAAAAAUCAGAAGUUUAGGUUAUUCCUGCUAAAUAUAUGUUUGGAUCUCAACCCCAAGAGCUAGCUCAAAUAAUGAUAUUGCCUUCACAUAUUUAUAUACUUCAUAUCCCGGGAACCUAAGCAAUGUGGAACUUCAAACAAACUCCAACAACACAUGACAUAUUCAACACCCACCCUCAUACCUAGCGUGGUCCUGGGUCAGAUGCCCGCAUUACCCCUUAACCCGGCUCUGAUGCCAUGUUCAAGUCAGAUAUGCAAAAUAAGAUAAUAACAAGCGAGGCAACUAGGGUUACAUAACAUUACCAUUGCAUAACCCACUUGAGUGGUCUAGUGGUGUUGGCUUGUGUCCUUGGAGUAUGCUCCUCUCAAGGUUUCAGGUUCGAUUCCCCCUAGUGCCAAUUUCGGUGGGCUAAGUCCAUACAUAACAAAAAACAAUAGCUUUAAAUUGAGCCCCCACAAGUGGACGGUGAGAUUGGUCCCUUUGGAUUAGUCGGUCCUAAGGCUGGAUACCAAGUUUUUUUUUUUAAAAAAAAACAUUAUCAUUGCAUUACUUAAUAAAAAAGAGUAACAAAAAUUAUAUAGCAAAACCUAAAAGACUAUAAGUCUAAUAUCAUAACCAAGAGCAACAAUCAGCAGCCAAAAGAUCAUGUGAACCAUCUGAGAGAGUAAGCAACAUCCAAAGAGAAAAACAACAAUCAAUUAACCAAAUUGUGAGCACAAUCAAUAAAAAAAAAUCAAAUUGUAAACGGUUAACUCACCAAACAAACAAAUUCAAACAAAUUUUCAAAUUAAUGGAACCAAACCAACGAAGCCAAAUCAAACCGAACCAAACGAAAUCAAAUCAAAACAAGACAUACAAACCAAUAAACCAAAGCGAACCAAUCAAACCAAAUAAAACAGAACCAAACCAAACGAACCAAAUAGACC